rnacentral:rRNA from 1 species
ACGGAAGGCAGCAGCUAAGAAUAUUCCGCAAUGGACGAAAGUCUGACGGAGCGACGCCGCGUGGAUGAUGAAGGCCGGAAGGUUGUAAAAUCCUUUUAUAACUGAGGAAUAAGUAUUAUCAGAGAAAGGUAGUAUGGUGACUGUAGGUUAUGAAUAAGCAACGGCUAAUUACGUGCCAGCAGCCGCGGUAACACGUAAGUUGCGAGCGUUGUUCGGAAUUAUUGGGCGUAAAGGGCAUGUAGGCGGUUUUGCAAGCUUGGUGUGAAAUCCCGGAGCUCAACUCCGGAAUUGCGUUGAGAACUGCGUAACUAGAGUCACUGAGGGGCAAUCAGAAUUCCAGGUGUAGGGGUGAAAUCUGUAGAUAUCUGGAAGAAUACCAAUGGCGAAGGCAGGUUACCAGCAGAUGACUGACGCUGAGGUGCGAAGGUGCGGGGAGCAAACAGGAUUAGAUACCCUGGUA